rnacentral:rRNA from 1 species
GACGAACCGUGCGAACGUUAUUCGGAAUCACUGGGCUUAAAGCGCGUGUAGGCGGAAGGGCACGUCUGGUGCUGAAAUCCCCCGGCUCAACCGGGGAACGGGCACGGAUACGACUCUUCUGGAGGAACGUAGGGGGACCUGGAACUUCCGGUGGAGCGGUGAAAUGCGUUGAGAUCGGAAGGAACGCCCGUGGCGAAAGCGGCGUACUGGGUCUUUUCUGACGCUGAGGCACGAAAGCUAGGGUAGCGAACGGG